UAUGUGUUGUUGGGUAGGGGAGCGUUCUGUAAGCCGUUGAAGGUGUGCUGUGAGGCAUGCUGGAGGUAUCAGAAGUGCGAAUGCUGACAUAAGUAACGAUAAAGCGGGUGAAAAGCCCGCUCGCCGGAAGACCAAGGGUUCCUGUCCAACGUUAAUCGGGGCAGGGUGAGUCGACCCCUAAGGCGAGGCCGAAAGGCGUAGUCGAUGGGAAACAGGUUAAUAUUCCUGUACUUGGUGUUACUGCGAAGGGGGGACGGAGAAGGCUAUGUCAGCCGGGCGACGGUUGUCCCGGUUUAAGCAUGUAGGCGGAGGUUCCAGGUAAAUCCGGUACCUUUUAACGCUGAGGUGUGAUGACGAGGCACUACGGUGCUGAAGUGAUAAAUGCCCUGCUUCCAGGAAAAGCCUCUAAGCAUCAGGUAACACGAAAUCGUACCCCAAACCGACACAGGUGGUCAGGUAGAGAAUACCAAGGCGCUUGAGAGAACUCGGGUGAAGGAACUAGGCAAAAUGGUGCCGUAACUUCGGGAGAAGGCACGCUGAUAGGUAGGUGAAGUCCCUGCGGACGGAGCUGAAAUCAGUCGAAGAUACCAGCUGGCUGCAACUGUUUAUUAAAAACACAGCACUGUGCAAACACGAAAGUGGACGUAUACGGUGUGACGCCUGCCCGGUGCCGGAAGGUUAAUUGAUGGGGUUAGCGGCAACGCGAAGCUCUUGAUCGAAGCCCCGGUAAACGGCGGCCGUAACUAUAACGGUCCUAAGGUAGCGAAAUUCCUUGUCGGGUAAGUUCCGACCUGCACGAAUGGCGUAAUGAUGGCCAGGCUGUCUCCACCCGAGACUCAGUGAAAUUGAACUCGCUGUGAAGAUGCAGUGUACCCGCGGCAAGACGGAAAGACCCCGUGAACCUUUACUAUAGCUUGACACUGAACACUGGUCCUUGAUGUGUAGGAUAGGUGGGAGGCUUUGAAGCGUGGACGCCAGUCUGCGUGGAGCCAUCCUUGAAAUACCACCCUUUAAUGGCUGGUGUUCUAACGUAGACCCGUGAUCCGGGUUGCGGACAGUGUCUGGUGGGUAGUUUGACUGGGGCGGUCUCCUCCCAAAGAGUAACGGAGGAGCACGAAGGUUGGCUAAUCCUGGUCGGACAUCAGGAGGUUAGUGCAAUGGCAUAAGCCAGCUUGACUGCGAGCGUGACGGCGCGAGCAGGUGCGAAAGCAGGUCAUAGUGAUCCGGUGGUUCUGAAUGGAAGGGCCAUCGCUCAACGGAUAAAAGGUACUCCGGGGAUAACAGGCUGAUACCGCCCAAGAGUUCAUAUCGACGGCGGUGUUUGGCACCUCGAUGUCGGCUCAUCACAUCCUGGGGCUGAAGUAGGUCCCAAGGGUAUGGCUGUUCGCCAUUUAAAGUGGUACGCGAGCUGGGUUUAGAACGUCGUGAGACAGUUCGGUCCCUAUCUGCCGUGGGCGCUGGAGAAUUGAGGGGGGCUGCUCCUAGUACGAGAGGACCGGAGUGGACGCAUCACUGGUGUUCGGGUUGUCAUGCCAAUGGCACUGCCCGGUAGCUAAAUGCGGAAGAGAUAAGUGCUGAAAGCAUCUAAGCACGAAACUUGCCCCGAGAUGAGUUCUCCCUGAGACCUUGAGUCUCCUGAAGGAACGUUGAAGACGACGACGUUGAUAGGUCGGGUGUGUAAGCGCAGCGAUGCGUUGAGCUAACCGAUACUAAUGAACCGUGAGGCUUAACCUU
rnacentral:rRNA from 1 species